GAUCCUGGCCCAGGAUGAACGCUAGCUACAGGCUUAACACAUGCAAGUCGAGGGGCAGCGGGAUUGAAGCUUGCUUCAAUUGCCGGCGACCGGCGCACGGGUGAGUAACGCGUAUCCAACCUUCCGUACACUCAGGGAUAGCCUUUCGAAAGAAAGAUUAAUACCUGAUGGUAUGAUGAGAUUGCAUGAUAGCAUCAUUAAAGAUUUAUCGGUGUACGAUGGGGAUGCGUU
rnacentral:rRNA from 1 species